UUUUUGAAAAUAAUUUAAAGUCUAAUCUGCCCACUGAUAAAUAUAUUAAAGGGCUGCAGUAUUUUGACUGUACAAAGGUAGCAUAAUCAUUAGUCUCUUAAUUGGUGACUUGUAUGAAAGAUUGGAUGAAAUAUAAACUGUCUCUAAUUAAUUUAUAAAAUUUAAUUUUUUAGUAAAAAAGCUAAAAUAAUUUUAAAAGACGAGAAGACCCUAUAGAGUUUUAUAAUUUAUUUGAUUAUUAUUAAUAUGUAAAUUUUAAAAUUAAAAUUAAAUAAAUUAUUUUGUUGGGGUGACAGAAAAAUUAAAUUAACUUUUUUAAAUAAUUAACAUUAAUUUAUGAAUAAAUGAUCCAUUAAUAUUGAUUAAAAGAAAAAAUUACCUUAGGGAUAACAGCGUAAUUUUUUUUUUUAGUUCAAAUAGGAAAAAAAGUUUGCGACCUCGAUGUUGGAUUAAGAUAAAAUUUAAAUG
rnacentral:rRNA from 1 species